rnacentral:lncRNA from 1 species
GGCCGGGAGGCAGGCGCUUCAUUGCAGCUUAGGGAUGAAUACAUAAACCUGGGCGGCUAUUUUUACACUGGCUGAAACAGAGAGCGUGUGUGUGGCAGGGGAGAGGACGCAAGCAGCCCUCCCCCAUUCAUCCCCUGAUCUUCCCCUUCCAUCUGGAGAGUUACUCCUCAGAACCGAAGCAUUUUUAUUUUUAUUUUUUGAAAUCAGGGAAGGGAAAAGGAAUGCAGAUCAAAACGUUUCCUAAAUGGUAAAAAUAAAUGAGAUAGCAGCAUUCUGAAUUCUCACGCCUUGGUACUCUCAGUCCUUCCUCCCCUUGUGUGCAGUCUUUUGAAGUCCAAGGUUGUCGGUCUGAGUUUGUCUUUUCCUGCUCAGGAAACAUGGAAUGGCUUCUGCAAGGUUUGGGCCUGCAGAGAGCUGGAGGAGACAGAGAAAAGAGGAGACUUUUUGCCAAAAAUGCAUUCUCGAUCCCGGCGUGUGCCUGUGCACUGUUGAGUGUGACUUUGUUCUGUUAGGACUUAAAAGAAAGCUCUGCUUCUUUAAAUAGGAAUUUUCAGACCAUGAUAAGCACUGAGAAAGCAGAAGAUUGUCCAGGAAGGGUGAUUGCUUUGAAUUUUCACCUGAUUUAGACCCACUGAAGCCAUUGCCUGUGCUUUCUUGUCAGAAUAAAUUUGGAGCUGAA